rnacentral:lncRNA from 1 species
AGAGUCGGGGCUGAGACCAGCCCCGGCCAGGGUAGUUACCGGGACGGUCUCCGGAGGCCGGGAUUCGCGGAGGGUCCACCAGCAGGAAGAAACCCCAGGAGGAAGAAACCUCAGACAGAUCGCCGGGGAGGCAGCGCGGGAUCCCAGCCUCAGGCGUGCGCGGACGGUGUGCGGUAGAAGUGGGUUUCACCAUGUUGGCCAGGCUGGUCUCGAAUUCCUGACUUCAAGUGAUUGGACUCCCAAAGUGCUGGAAUUAGAGGCAUAAGCCACCAUGCCUGGCCUCCCCUAAUUCGCUUCUUUGAACCUCUCUACAUCAUCACAAGAUGGGUGUUACUAUGAUCACUAUUUUAUAGGUUCUCAAUGGCCCACUUCCUGACCACCACCCUCUGGAGUCCAAAGGAGAUUUGCUUAUUCCCAGUAUUAUUCCUGCAGGUCAGCCAAAGAGGAGCAAAGAGUCAUCUACCUCAAUCAUGUUCAGGAAAUGAUCAGGUCAAGAUGUGGAGUGAGCAAGCUUUUCUCUUUUGUGCCACAUUUUCUGACCCAGUAUUUCAAGCUACCCAAGGUGCGAAAAAGAAAGAAGGCCGAAGGGAAGAAGGUGGUGCUCACCCUUGCUGUCUUGAAAAAGCAGGAGACCAUGAAAGUGGUUGCAGCAGCAGAGAGCCAUCCUCUAUAAACAGCUAGAAGUGCCUUCUGUGAUUAAUCAGUUCACCAGGGCCUUGGACCACCAAACAGCUGCUCAAUGGGGGCCCAGUGCAAAAUGACGUGGAUGUUGUACCUCGUUCAAAGUGUUAAGCGUUUCAAGAUGGCAACAGCAGAGCAUUAGGCCAAGUAUGAGGUCAUUAUGUACAUGGGUCCUUGUGUGACCACACAGGUCACAGGAACAUGAAGCUAGACCUGAGUGUAUAUUCAGAUAGUGGAGAUGGCGUUUCACCGUGUUAGCCAGGAUGGUCUCGAUCUCCUGACCUCAUGAUCUGCCCGCCUCAGCCUCCCAAAGUGCUGGGAUUACAGGAGAGAUUUCACUCUGCAAGGAGCCAAUUGGCAGUGUUUGGAGAUGUUUUCUGUUGUCACAACUUGUGAAUGGAGUUACUACUAGCAUCGAAUUGGAGAGGCCAGGGAUGUUGCUAAACAUCCUGCAACAUACAAGGAAACAAGGUCAUCAGCUGGCAUUGAGAUUGAAGAAAAGUAUGUGAGGGGUGUGAAAUGAGGAAAGAAUCCAUAAGUUAAUCUUACAUAAGAGGAAGAAGGCAAUGGCUAACAAAAGAAAAAUGGGCUUGUUUGGCCGCAUUAAAGGCACAUUUGCUUUUCAAGAAUAUUCACUAACAGAAGACUGGUGAAUUAACAUUGGCAUGGAUUCUUCAAAUUAAUGAUGGAGGACAUGUUGCAAUUCUAUUAUUAUCUGAUGCAAAGGACUAUUCAUGGUCAUGACUAAUCAUUAAAUGGCUGUAAACUUUUGAGAAAACACUUCCAAAUACUGUGACAGCAUAUCGGCUGCAGUUGUUAAGGCUGGCAUUAUUGGCAUUAGAUCACUGAAGAGGAAAUAAAGUGUGCAAGAAUACUCUCUUGUCACCAGAUUACUGAGGUGUACUGGAG